rnacentral:sRNA from 1 species
GUCAUGCUUCCCAUCAACGGGAGCCCGUAUCAUGUCAUUCAUCGGCGGAGCAUGUACCCACGGCCCAGGAGCAGUCGUCGGCGAGGAGCUCAAGAAUCCCAUUCGAUCAUGGAAUUCGAUCAAAGAAGACGCAGCGCCAUACAUGAAAAAGGCCAUCAAAUUUUACGACGGCCUAGCGGCCCGAAUCGUUAAAAACGGGCACGCCGUUGAUGUCUAUUCGUGUGCUUUGGAUCAAACUGGGCUUUUGGAAAUGAAGAAUAUGUUUAAUUCAUCCGGUGGACACGUUGUAAUGGGAGAUUCAUUUAAUUCGUCGCUUUUCAAGCAAACUUAUCAACGAAGUUUUGAUAAGGAUUCGGCUGGAAAUUUGAAAAUGGGAUUCAACGCGACAAUGGAAGUGAAAGUCGGUGCGGGACUCAAAAUUGAAGGUGUUCUCGGAUGCUGUGCAAGUGGAAAUGUUCGAAAUGCCAACGUUUCUGACCAAGAAAUGGGAAUUGGAGGCACUUGUCAAUGGAAGUUUGGAGCGAUCUCGCCGCGCACUACGAUUGGAGUCGUUUUUGAGAUUGCCGCGCAACAUGGAUCCGCAAUUCCGCAAGGUCUCUCGGAAAAGUUGGAAUUUUUGCGUGAAAUUCCCGAAAUUUUGGCUUAACAUUUGGGGGUUUUUGGUUAAAAUCCGCAAAAAAUUGGCUUCAAGCCGGCUUUUCGCCCAUUAAAAUCGGACUUUAACUGAAAAUUCCAUGAAUUUGGCUUUAAAUUUUGAUUUUUUUUUGCAGAAAUUGCAAAAAAAUUGGUCUAAAAGUCGGAAUGUUGUUGAAAAUCCAAUGAAAUUGACGGAAAAAUUGGAUUUUUGGUUAAAAUCCGCAAAAAUUUGGCUCCAAUUUCAUAAAGCAGCUGUAACUUUUCCAGGUGGCCGUGGAAUGGUUCAAUUCGUGACCCAAUAUCAGCAUGCGGAUGGACGUAAACGUAUUCGGGUGACAACGACGUGCCGUACGUGGGCGGAUAUGGCGACUCAGCAGCCAAAUAUCGCAUAUGGAUUUGAUCAGGAAGCUGCUGCCGUUGCAAUUGCCAGGCUCGCGUCAUUUAGAGCAUCCAAUGAGAAUGAUACCCCGGAAGCACUUAGAUGGUUGGAUAGAUCGCUGAUUCGAUUG